rnacentral:rRNA from 1 species
UUAGAGUUUGAUCCUGGCUCAGGAUGAACGCCGGCGGUGUGCCUAAUACAUGCAAGUCGUACGCACUGGCCCAACUGAUUGAUGGUGCUUGCACCUGAUUGACGAUGGAUCACCAGUGAGUGGCGGACGGGUGAGUAACACGUAGGUAACCUGCCCCGGAGCGGGGGAUAACAUUUGGAAACAGAUGCUAAUACCGCAUAACAACAAAAGCCACAUGGCUUUUGUUUGAAAGAUGGCUUUGGCUAUCACUCUGGGAUGGACCUGCGGUGCAUUAGCUAGUUGGUAAGGUAACGGCUUACCAAGGCGAUGAUGCAUAGCCGAGUUGAGAGACUGAUCGGCCACAAUGGAACUGAGACACGGUCCAUACUCCUACGGGAGGCAGCAGUAGGGAAUCUUCCACAAUGGGCGCAAGCCUGAUGGAGCAACACCGCGUGAGUGAAGAAGGGUUUCGGCUCGUAAAGCUCUGUUGUUGGAGAAGAACGUGCGUGAGAGUAACUGUUCACGCAGUGACGGUAUCCAACCAGAAAGUCACGGCUAACUACGUGCCAGCAGCCGCGGUAAUACGUAGGUGGCAAGCGUUAUCCGGAUUUAUUGGGCGUAAAGCGAGCGCAGGCGGUUGCUUAGGUCUGAUGUGAAAGCCUUCGGCUUAACCGAAGAAGUGCAUCGGAAACCGGGCGACUUGAGUGCAGAAGAGGACAGUGGAACUCCAUGUGUAGCGGUGGAAUGCGUAGAUAUAUGGAAGAACACCAGUGGCGAAGGCGGCUGUCUGGUCUGCAACUGACGCUGAGGCUCGAAAGCAUGGGUAGCGAACAGGAUUAGAUACCCUGGUAGUCCAUGCCGUAAACGAUGAGUGCUAGGUGUUGGAGGGUUUCCGCCCUUCAGUGCCGGAGCUAACGCAUUAAGCACUCCGCCUGGGGAGUACGACCGCAAGGUUGAAACUCAAAGGAAUUGACGGGGGCCCGCACAAGCGGUGGAGCAUGUGGUUUAAUUCGAAGCUACGCGAAGAACCUUACCAGGUCUUGACAUCUUGCGCUAACCUUAGAGAUAAGGCGUUCCCUUCGGGGACGCAAUGACAGGUGGUGCAUGGUCGUCGUCAGCUCGUGUCGUGAGAUGUUGGGUUAAGUCCCGCAACGAGCGCAACCCUUGUUACUAGUUGCCAGCAUUAAGUUGGGCACUCUAGUGAGACUGCCGGUGACAAACCGGAGGAAGGUGGGGACGACGUCAGAUCAUCAUGCCCCUUAUGACCUGGGCUACACACGUGCUACAAUGGACGGUACAACGAGUCGCAAGCUCGCGAGAGUAAGCUAAUCUCUUAAAGCCGUUCUCAGUUCGGACUGUAGGCUGCAACUCGCCUACACGAAGUCGGAAUCGCUAGUAAUCGCGGAUCAGCAUGCCGCGGUGAAUACGUUCCCGGGCCUUGCACACACCGCCCGUCA